rnacentral:rRNA from 1 species
ACUGGGAUUCCUUAGUACGGCGAGUCCGCGGUAAAAGCUCAAAUUUGAAAUCUGGCCCUUUCAGUGCCCGAGUUGUAAUUUGUAGAAUUUGUCUUUGAUUAGGUCCUUGUCUAUGUUCCUUGGAACAGGACGUCAUAGAGGGUGAGAAUCCCGUUUGGCGAGGAUACCUUUUCUCUGUAAGACUUUUUCGAAGAGUCGAGUUGUUUGGGAAUGCAGCUCAAAGUGGGUGGUAAAUUCCAUCUAAAGCUAAAUAUUGGCGAGAGACCGAUAGCGAACAAGUACAGUGAUGGAAAGAUGAAAAGAACUUUGAAAAGAGAGUGAAAAAGUACGUGAAAUUGUUGAAAGGGAAGGGCAUUUGAUCAGACAUGGUGUUUUUUGCAUGCACUCGCCUCUCGUGGGCUUGGGCCUCUCAAAAAUUUCACUGGGCCAACAUCAAUUCUGGCAGUAGGAUAAAUCAUUAAGAAUGUAGCUACCUCGGUAGUGUUAUAGCUUAUUGGAAUACUGCUAGCUGGGAUUGAGGACUGCGCUUCGGCAAGGAUGUUGGCAUAAUG